rnacentral:tRNA from 1 species
UGUAUAUAGCUCAGCAGUAGAGCACAUGCUUAGUAUGCACGAAGUCCUGGGUUCAAUCCCCAGUACUUCAA